rnacentral:rRNA from 1 species
AUUGAACGCUAGCGGGAUGCCUUACACAUGCAAGUCGAACGGCGUGGCGAACGGGUGAGUAAUGUCUCGGAACGUGCCCAGUAGCGGGGGAUAACUAAGCGAGAGCGUAGCUAAUAACGCAUACUAUUGGAGCGGCCGAUAUUGGAUUAGCUAGUUGGUGGGGUAACGGCUCACCAAGGCGACGAUCCGUAGCUGGUUUGAGAGGACGACCAGCCACACUGGGACUGAGACACGGCCCAGACUCCUACGGGAGGCAGCAGUGGGGAAUUUUGGACAAUGGGGGAAACCCUGAUCCAGCCAUCCCGCGUGAGCGAUGAAGGCCUUCGGGUUGUAAAGCACUUUUGGCAGGAAAGCGGUACCUGCAUAAUAAGCACCGGCUAACUACGUGCCAGCAGCCGCGGUAAUUC